UGCUUGGCAGGGGGUUGGACUCGAUGGCCCUUGUGGUCUCUUCCAACUCUAUGAUUCUAUGAUUCUAUGAUUGGCAGAAUUGGCACUAAUAAGGGUUCCACCCAUUUUGCAUUUGUAAGAAUGCAGUAUAGUCUGGCAGCAUCUACACUUUGGAACUCCCUGCCAAUUGAGAUUAAGCAGGCCCUUCACUGAACUCUUUUGGAGCCUGCAAAAAUAAAAUAAAAUAUCCUGUUCAGACAAGCCUACCUAGAUGGUUAGAAUCUGAGGUACAUUUAAUCUGUUUUAAUAUUUUAACAUGUGUAUGUUUUAAAGUAGAGUUGUGAUUUUUCUUGAUUUUGCUGUCUUAUCUUUUACAAACUGCUUUGAGGGGUUUUUAAAUAAUCAAAUGGUACAGUCAUACCUCGAGUUGAAGUUGCUUCAGGUUGAGUGUUUUCGGGUUGCGCUCCGCGGCGACCUGGAAGUAACGGAAUGCAUUAUUUCCAGGUUUCGCCGCGCAUGCGCAGACGCUCAAAAUGAUGUCAAUGUCAGCAUCACUCUUGAGCCAGUGCCACCAACUGGACUCAUCCACUUCAGCCCCGACUGGGCUAGGCGAGCUGGGUAGCACUUCCAGAGACCACCUUCUGCACAGGAACAGGUCAAAGUGCUGUGGACUCACAGCUUAGAGUUGUGAGCACCGGAUUCACUUCCACAAGAAGACAGUCGUUGCACAGCAGAGUAUAGCAGAGUACAGCAGAGCAUAAACGACUCGGAGAGCAGCUCUGUAGAUUAUCUUCUUUAUUCUAUCUACAACUAUAAUGCAACUAUAUACAGAGCUAAAUGAGGUCUAAGCAUAAAUGAAUGCUGAACUGCACUGAGUGUCUGCAGCUGCUCUUAGCAGCAACCUUAUCUACACACACAAUCUCUAACACUCAGUCUCUCUCUCUCUCUCCGACACUCACUGACUGACUGAUGUUAGGCUGGAGCGGAAUAAGUAGAGAGCAG